UACGAAGGGGGCUAGCGUUGUUCGGAUUUACUGGGCGUAAAGCGCACGUAGGCGGUUUGUUAAGUGAGAGGUGAAAUCCCAGAGCUCAACUCUGGAACUGCCUUUCAUACUGGCAAGCUAGAGUCCGGAAGAGGUAAGUGGAACUCCUAGUGUAGAGGUGGAAUUCGUAGAUAUUUAGGAAGAACACCAGUGGCGAAGGCGGCUUACUGGUCCGGAACUGACGCUGAAGGUGCGAAAGCGUGGGGAGCAAACAGG
rnacentral:rRNA from 1 species